rnacentral:rRNA from 1 species
UCACGAUGAGGGCCGUGCAUAGGCGAGCUGGUCCAGAAAACGUCCCGCCCGGUGGCAACUAAGCCGCCUGGUGGAUGGCUCGGCUCGGGGCGCCGACGAAGGGCGUGGC